rnacentral:lncRNA from 1 species
UUUGCACCAUCGCCUCCAACCCUUUCGCACCUUCGAUAUCGAAAGCGUCAUAUCUGACGGGGUUGCCCGAAGCACAAAAUUGAUAUGUAAGAGAUGGUACUCUUAGCUGGUUGGAUCCGACAAUUUUUUGCCUAAUUCUUGUCCGUAGUUCUGGUGAUUGUAUGUUCUAGUUAAAAGCCAGCUUUAUUGUGUUCUCUGAUAAAAAAAACGACCCUGUUCUUGCUAUCACGCAUUUCACCAUCAUAAUAAACAAUAGCAUUAAUUCGUCCACUCAUUUUCAAC